rnacentral:tRNA from 2 species
GCGGGAGUGGCGGAAUCGGCAGACGCGCACGUUUGAGGGGCGUGUAUCUUUGAUGUACGGGUUCAAGUCCCGUUUCCCGCACCA